rnacentral:lncRNA from 1 species
AUUGACCAAUUCAAAAGAUCGAUAGGAGCAUUUCAAUGCUUCUUCAGCAGCCUCUACAUAUGGAGUGUUCAAUGGUUGAGUCACCAGCAUGUCUUCCUCUCCAACUACUACUAUCAAUUGACCUUCUACAUUGAACUUGAUCUUUUGAUGUAAAGUAGAGGGCACAGCUCCUGCCAUGUGAAUCCAUGGUCUUUCUAAUAAACAGCU